CCACGGUACUCAUGCUUUUAUACUUCUGCCAAUUGUCCACUUGGCCCAACCGGUCCGGUUUUUGCACAAUAUUCCGGGAGCCCGGCCCGCCUACUUCCACGGAAGUGCCAAGUGUCCAACCCGUACUAAUCAUAUUGUAUUUU
ensembl:ncRNA M153.6 ncRNA